rnacentral:rRNA from 1 species
AGGACGAACGCUGGCGGCGUGCUUAACACAUGCAAGUCGAGCGGAAAGGCCCUUCGGGGUACUCGAGCGGCGAACGGGUGAGUAACACGUGAGUAACCUGCCCCUAGUUCUGGGAUAGCUCCGGGAAACCGGAAUUAAUACCGGAUACAACCACGGACGACAUCGGCCGUGGUGGAAAGAUUUAUCGACUAGGGAUGGGCUCGCGGCCUAUCAGCUUGUUGGUGGGGUAACGGCCUACCAAGGCGACGACGGGUAGCCGGCCUGAGAGGGCGGCCGGGCCACGACUGGGACUGAGACACGGCCCAGACUCCUACGGGAGGCAGCAGUGGGGAAUAUUGCGCAAUGGGCGAAAGCCUGACGCAGCGACGCCGCGUGGGGGAUGAAGGCCUUCGGGUUGUAAACCCCUUUCAGCAGGGACGAAGCGAAAGUGACGGUACCUGCAGAAGAAGCGCCGGCUAACUACGUGCCAGCAGCCGC